rnacentral:rRNA from 1 species
GAUGAACGCUGGCGGCGUGCCUAAUACAUGCCAGUCGAGCGAACGGACGAGAAGCUUGCUUCUCUGAUGUUAGCGGCGGACGGGUGAGUAACACGUGGAUAACCUACCUAUAAGACUGGGAUAACUUCGGGAAACCGGCGCUAAUACCGGAUGAUAUUUUGAACCGCAUGGUUCAAAAGUGAAAGACGGUCUUGCUGUCACUUAUAGAUGGAUCCGCGCUGCAUUAGCUAGUUGGUAAGGUAACGGCUUACCAAGGCAACGAUGCAUAGCCGACCUGAGAGGGUGAUCGGCCACACUGGAACUGAGACACGGUCCAGACUCCUACGGGAGGCAGCAGUAGGGAAUCUUCCGCAAUGGGCGAAAGCCUGACGGAGCAACGCCGCGUGAGUGAUGAAGGUCUUCGGAUCGUAAAACUCUGUUAUUAGGGAAGAACAUAUGUGUAAGUAACUGUGCACAUCUUGACGGUACCUAAUCAGAAAGCCACGGCUAACUACGUG